UAAUACUCCAUAGUUCGUUAUUACUGGAAUGUUUUUCGAACGAAAGAUCCGUCGCUUCAGGAUGAGUCUGCGGCCGAUUAGGUAGUUGUUGGGGUAAUUGCCCAACAAGCCUGUAAUCGGUACGGGUUGUGGGAGCAAGAGCCCGGAGAUGGAUUCUGAGACACGAAUCCAGGCCCUACGGGGCGCAGCAGGCGCGAAAACUUUACCAUGCGGGCAACCGUGAUAAGGAAACCCCGAGUGCCAGCACAGGCUGGCUGUCCGCCAGUUUAAACAACUGGCGAAGAAAGGGCCGGGCAAGACCGGUGCCAGCCGCCGCGGUAAUACCGGCGGCUCGAGUGGUGGCCGCUAUUACUGGGCUUAAAGGGUCCGUAGCUUGAUAAUAGGGUCCCUUGAGAAAUCCGCCGGCUUAACUGGCGGGCGUUCAGGGGGAACUUGUUUUCUAGGGACCGGGAGAGGUGAGGGGUACUGCCGGGGUAGGAGUGAAAUCCUGUAAUCCCGGUGGGACCACCUAUGGCGAAGGCAUCUCACCAGAACGGGUCCGACAGUGAGGGACGAAAGCUGGGGGAGCAAACCGGAUUAGAUACCCGGGUAGUCCCAGCUGUAACUAUGUGCGUUAGGUGUGU
rnacentral:rRNA from 1 species